UUUAUUUAACUGGCUAUGCCAAAGACCGCAGGAGCAAUUAGGGUUGCUUAAUUAACCUGCCGAGGUUGAAGCCUGAAUCAAGAUUUGAGUUUGUUGGGGAUUUGCUUCCUUGACAGCUUUUAAUGCUCUGC
rfam:Synechocystis DNA for ribosomal proteins L10 and L12